AUGAAUUGGUGGAAAGGCAGCAAUUGGACCAUCAGAUGCCUAUCUUGGCGUCCGUUUCAGUUGGUUGGUCCAAUGGAAUUAUGGAUUCGAGAUGCCAAGGCUAUGAAGAUUUCAGUGCCGAUAAGUUCAAGUAGCAAUGAUCUGUUUAUCUUCUAUUGUACGUUUUCAAUAUUUGUGGAAUAUGUGGUAAUGAGUAUUGGAUAGCAAUCAACACUAUUACAGUGAGAAAGAACUAAGUAUAACCGAAAUUCUUGUUCAUUCUAAUAUCACAUGUAAUCAUAAUCUAAAUUCUUGUUCAUUCUAAUAUUUAUCGAAUCGUGUGUUACUAUGUUCAUACACAUGCAGUUAUUGUAUUUGUUAAUCAUACAUUUUGGAUGCAUAUAGUCAAAUGCUAAACCCUUAAGAAUGGGGGAAAUGACAUUUUAUGAACCAUUUACGAGCUAAGUGUUUGUGAUAUUCUACAAUUCCCAACUCCCUCGUGAAUAGCUUCUAGAUCAUAAGUUCUUCUAUUAAGUUCUAUACUAAGCUACAUGGAACUUGUCUUUCAUCAUUGUCAACAUGGUAUGCUUUGUGACAAUUUAACUUUAUAAAUUUUGGUAUAAUUUUAAUUUCUUCCAUCUCUUGCUUCUACAAUCAUAGAUUGAAAAUGACAAAGGUAUGAAAUCUAUAUUCUUGAAAUGUAGGCAGUCUAUUUAGAUAUUUCAUUGACUAUAUAUAAUAUUAUUCUUCACUUCAUUAAUUUUGUAUACUUCAAGGAUCAAAGGGGAUUGUUAUCUUCACAAUAUUUCUCAGGUCAUAGAUGAGAUGACUAAUGGAGGAGCAGACUACUAUUUUGAAUGUGUUGGAAUGGCUUCUUUGGUCGAGGACUCAUAUGCUUGCUGCCGAAAGGUUUUAUUGUGUCUUAUUUGAAGUCCUCUCUCUUUCAUGCACCAACUCUCACACUCUGACUCAUCUACUCUUGGUGUAGGUU
rnacentral:lncRNA from 1 species